rnacentral:rRNA from 1 species
AGUCAACAUGCCCAGGGGACGUGGAUAACCUCGGGAAACUGAGGAUAAACCGCGAUAGGUCAUCACUUCUGGAAUGGGUAAUGACUUAAACCUAUAUGGCCCCUGGAUUGGACUGCGGCCGAUCAGGCUGUUGGUGAGGUAAUGGCCCACCAAACCUGUAACCGGUACGGGCUCUGAGAGGAGGAGCCCGGAGAUGGGCACUGAGACAAGGGCCCAGGCCCUAUGGGGCGCAGCAGGCGCGAAACCUCUGCAAUAGGCGAAAGCUUGACAGGGUUACUCUGAGUGAUUUCCGUUAAGGAGAUCUUUUGGCACCUCUAAAAAUGGUGCAGAAUAAGGGGUGGGCAAGUCUGGUGUCAGCCCGCCGCGGUAAUACCAGCACCCCGAGUGGUCGGGACGUUUAUUGGGCCUAAAGCAUCCGUAGCCGGUUCUACAAGUCUUCCGUUAAAUCCACCUGCUUAACAGAUGGGCUGCGGAAGAUACUAUAGAGCUAGGAGGCGGGAGAGGCAAGCGGUACUCGAUGGGUAGGGGUAAAAUCCGUUGAUCCAUUGAAGACCACCAGUGGCGAAGGCGGCUUGCCAGAACGCGCUCGACGGUGAGGGAUGAAAGCUGGGGGAGCAAACCGGAUUAGAUACCCGGGUAGUCCCAGCUGUAAACGAUGCAGACUCGGUGAUGAAUUGGCUUAUUGCUAAUUCAGUGCCGCAGGGAAGCCGUUAAGUUUGCCGCCUGGGGAGUACGGUCGCAAGACUGAAACU